UCGGGCCCCCGCCUGCAGGACUCGCUCCUGCCAGCCAAGGACUCAAGAAGGAGGGAGUCCCCAGUCCCGGCGGGGCGCCUGGGAUUCGGUUCAAUAUUUAGCACAGUCAGUACCGAAGCAGGGGCAGCCAGGUGGGAGCUGGGCGCCCCAAAGUUGGACCCCAAUCAGCAGCGAGUGGGCAGCGGGGGCCUGGCUCGCCCGCGCCCCGGAGCUCUCCGGCUGGCUCUCUGCUCCCCGAAGCUGGGGAGCCGGGGGCGCUCUCCCGGGCCGCAAGCAGGCACGGAAUUUGACGCCCGAGAGGCAGAUGGUCCUGGCUAGGACUCCUGAUUCUUCUCAGAUGGAAACGGUUUCUCCCGGUGAACCUGCCGGAAUUCUCAGUGGACUCGAUCUUCAGCUUUGUCCACUGGCGCAUUUCACCAAGGCCGCAUUUACCGCUUUGAGGCAAAUUUGAGCUUCAAAUGGAGCGGGACUCCUGGUUGCAGAACGAGGGGGUGUGGGAAUGUGCAUCUGCAAGACCAGGGGAUGCAGAGCUUGCAGGAAGGAGGAAACUCACUAGGUUCAGG
rnacentral:lncRNA from 1 species